AGCAGUUCGGCGGCCACAUGUCAGGGAGACUGGGAUGGCAGUUAUACCUUUUAUGGAAAGGAGUGUGAGGGGUACAGAUGCCAAAUGCCACCAGAAAACGCGCCCGUGUGACACAACCUUGAAUCGCCGAGAGAGAGGAAGAUCGUCACCUGUACAACGGCCCCUCAAAGAAGGGCCCCGAUUCGACACACUUCGUUUCGACCUGAGGGCCGAAUGAGAUGAGGACAAAGAGGAAAAGAACUGCGACUCCACCCCAAGCUCUUGUAGGAUGCAUUGUGAGCCCGAUGGGAGGGGCAAUUCGAUGCUCUUACGUGGAUUUCGGGGAAACAGAAGCGAUUGGGGAAUACAGGAGCCAUCCAUCUGUUUGAAGCCUAUCCAUCUUCUUCUUUACGAUUGGUAUUUGUUAGGUAAGUGAAUGUUGUUGUUAUUAUCAUUGUUGUUAUUAUUAUUAUUAUUAUUAUUAUUAUUAUUAUUAU